rnacentral:rRNA from 1 species
GACGAACGCUGGCGGCGCGCCUAACACAUGCAAGUCGAACGAGCGAGAGAGAGCUUGCUUUCUCGAGCGAGUGGCGAACGGGUGAGUAACGCGUGAGGAACCUGCCUCAAAGAGGGGGACAACAGUUGGAAACGACUGCUAAUACCGCAUAAGCCCACGACCCGGCAUCGGGUAGAGGGAAAAGGAGCAAUCCGCUUUGAGAUGGCCUCGCGUCCGAUUAGCUAGUUGGUGAGGUAAAGGCCCACCAAGGCGACGAUCGGUAGCCGGACUGAGAGGUUGAACGGCCACAUUGGGACUGAGACACGGCCCAGACUCCUACGGGAGGCAGCAGUGGGGAAUAUUGCACAAUGGGGGAAACCCUGAUGCAGCGACGCCGCGUGGAGGAAGAAGGUCUUCGGAUUGUAAACUCCUGUUGUUGAGGAAGAUAAUGACGGUACUCAACAAGGAAGUGACGGCUAACUACGUG